GGAAUUUUCCGCAAUGGGCGAAAGCCUGACGGAGCAACGCCGCGUGAGGGAUGAAGGCCUCUGGGCUGUAAACCUCUUUUAUCAAGGAAGAAGAUCUGACGGUACUUGAUGAAUAAGCCACGGCUAAUUCCGUGCCAGCAGCCGCGGUAAUACGGGAGUGGCAAGCGUUAUCCGGAAUUAUUGGGCGUAAAGCGUCCGCAGGCGGUCUUGUAAGUCUGUCGUUAAAGCGUGGAGCUUAACUCCAUUUCAGCGAUGGAAACUGUAAGACUAGAGUGUGGUAGGGGCAGAGGGAAUUCCCGGUGUAGCGGUGAAAUGCGUAGAUAUCGGGAAGAACACCAGUGACGAAGGCGCUCUGCUGGGCCAUAACUGACGCUCAUGGACGAAAGCCAGGGGAGCGAAAGGGAUUAGAUACCCCAGUAGUC
rnacentral:rRNA from 1 species